rnacentral:rRNA from 1 species
CCUAGUAACUGCGAGUGAAGCGGGAAAAGCUCAAAUUUAAAAUCUGGCAGUCUUUGAUUGUCCGAGUUGUAGUCUGGAGAAGUGCUUUCCGCGCUGGACCGUGUACAAGUCUCUUGGAAUAGAGCGUCAUAGAGGGUGAGAAUCCCGUCUUUGACACGGACUACCAGUGCUUUGUGAUGCGCUCUCAAAGAGUCGAGUUGUUUGGGAAUGCAGCUCAAAAUGGGUGGUAAAUUCCAUCUAAAGCUAAAUAUUGGCGAGAGACCGAUAGCGAACAAGUACCGUGAGGGAAAGAUGAAAAGCACUUUGGAAAGAGAGUUAAACAGUACGUGAAAUUGCUGAAAGGGAAACGCUUGAAGUCAGUCACGUUGGUCAGAACUCAGCCUGGUUUUUUACUUGGUGCAUUUUCUGAUUAACGGGCCAGCAUCAAUUUCGAUCAUUGGAAAAAUUCUUGGGAAAUGUGGCUCCCUCGGGAGUGUUAUAGUCUCGAGUUGUAUACAGUGAUUGGGAUUGAGGAACUCAGCAUGCCUUUAUGGCCGGGGUUCGCCCACGUUCAUGCUUAGGAUGCUGGCGUAAUGGCUUUAAACGACCCGUCUUGAAACACGGACCAAGGAGUCUAACAUACCUGCGAGUAUUUGGGUGGAAAACCCGAGUGCGUAAUGAAAGUGAAAGUUGGGAUCUCUGUCGUGGAGAGCACCGACGCCCAUACCAGACCUUCUGCGACGGCUAUGCGGUUGAGCAUGUAUGUUGGGACCCGAAAGAUGGUGAACUAUGCCUGAAUAGGGUGAAGCCAGAGGAAACUCUGGUGGAGGCUCGUAGCGAUUCUGACGUGCAAAUCGAUCGUCAAAUUUGGGUAUAGGGGCGAAAGACUAAUCGAACCAUCUAGUAGCUGGUUCCUGCCGAAGUUUCCCUCAGGAUAGCAGAAACUCAUUUCAGAUUUAUGUGGUAAAGCGAAUGAUUAGAGGCCUUGGGGUUGAAACAACCUUAACCUAUUCUCAAACUUUAAAUAUGUAAGAACAAACCGUCACUUAGUUGGACCGUUUGGCGAUUGAGAGUUUCUAGUGGGCCAUUUUUGGUAAGC